CCCUUAGAUGUUCUGGGCCGCACGCGCGCUACACUGAUGCAUUCAACGAGUCUAAAACCUGGUCUGAUAGGGCUGGGUAAUCUUUUGAAUGUGCAUCGUGAUUGGGAUAGAUGAUUGCAAUUCUUCAUCUUCAACGAGGAAUGCCUAGUAAACACAAGUCAUCAGCUUGCAUUGAUUACGUCCCUGCCCUUUGUACACACCGCCCGUCGCUCCUACCGAUUGAAUGUUCCGAUGAAUACCAUGGACUGAGAGUAUGAAUGGGUUCGCCUAUUUCUGCUUCUCGGGAAGUGGAGUAAAUCUUAACAUUUAGAGGAAGGAGAAGUCGUAACA
rnacentral:rRNA from 1 species